GUGGUCGACGGGCCGAGCUUCACGCCCAGCGGGUUGCGGACCCGCGAGAGGAAGUCGACGUGCGCGCCGUCGAGGUCGCGC
rnacentral:tRNA from 1 species